rnacentral:rRNA from 1 species
UACGUAGGGUGCGAGCGUUGUCCGGAAUUAUUGGGCGUAAAGAGCUCGUAGGCGGUCUGUCGCGUCGGUCGUGAAAACCUGCAGCUUAACUGUGGGCGUGCGGUCGAUACGGGCAUGACUGGAGUUCGGCAGGGGAGACUGGAAUUCCUGGUGUAGCGGUGGAAUGCGCAGAUAUCAGGAGGAACACCGAUAGCGAAGGCAGCUCGCUGGGACGGUACUGACGCUGAGGUGCGAAAGCGUGGGGAGCGAACAGG